UACAGAGGAUGCAAGCGUUAUCCGGAAUGAUUGGGCGUAAAGCGUCUGUAGGUGGCUUUUAAGUCCGCCGUCAAAUCCCAGGGCUCAACUCUGGACAGGCGGUGGAACUACCAAGCUGGAGUACGGUAGGGCAGAGGGAAUUUCCGGUGGAGCGGUGAAAUGCGUAGAGAUCGGAAAGAACACCAACGGCGAAAGCACUCUGCUGGGCCGACACUGACACUGAGAGACGAAAGCUAGGGAGCGAAUGGG
rnacentral:rRNA from 1 species